rnacentral:rRNA from 2 species
GACGAGGGAUCCUAGCGUUGUUCGGAAUCAUUGGGCGUAAAGCGGGUGUAGGUGGAUCUAUAAGUCAGGUGUGAAAUCCCAGGGCUCAACCCUGGAAGUGCACUUGAUACUGUAGAUCUUGAGUGUGGUAGAGGUUACUGGAAUUCUUGGUGUAGUGGUGAAAUACGUAGAUAUCAAGAGGAAUACCGGAGGCGAAGGCGGGUAACUGGGCCAACACUGACACUGAGACCCGAAAGCGUGGGGAUCAAACAGG